rnacentral:rRNA from 1 species
GGGGAAUCUUGCACAAUGGGCGAAAGCCUGAUGCAGCGACGCCGCGUGCGGGAUGAAGGCCCUAUGGGUUGUAAACCGCUUUCAGCAGGGACGAGGCCGCAAGGUGACGGUACCUGCAGAAGAAGCCCCGGCUAACUACGUGCCAGCAGCCGCGGUAAUACGUAGGGGGCAAGCGUUAUCCGGAUUCAUUGGGCGUAAAGCGCUCGUAGGCGGCUUGUUAGGUCGGGAGUUAAAUCCCGGGGCUCAACCCCGGCACGCUCCCGAUACCGGCAGGCUUGAGUUUGGUAGGGGAAAGUGGAAUUCCAAGUGUAGCGGUGGAAUGCGCAGAUAUUUGGAAGAACACCAGUGGCGAAGGCGGCUUUCUGGGCCAUAACUGACGCUGAGGAGCGAAAGCUAGGGGAGCAAAC